UCAGAGACUAUUGGAUCUCUAACAAACACACAAAGUCUCUAAGAAGAAGGAUUGCUAAAUGUGAAAUCUGUCUUAAAGGACCUGCUUCAAAAAUGUGCUCUCUCUGAAUAUGAGAGAUAUUGAAGGAGGACACAUGAAGAGAGCUUGUAGCGCUGAUUAUGUGACUAUCGAACGAAACCUUAACCAAUCAACCAAGUUUCCAGAAAGAGUUUUCUAGGAACUGCAUGGUUCAAUUUGGAUAGACAAAAAGGAAUGAAGGAGGACAAUUUGGACAAGCACUGUUUUCAGCAAUAAUCUUACAUAUGAGG